rnacentral:rRNA from 1 species
UACGUAGGGUGCAAGCGUUGUCCGGAAUUAUUGGGCGUAAAGAGCUCGUAGGCGGUCUGUCGCGUCGGCUGUGAAAACCCGAGGCUCAACCUCGGGCCUGCAGUCGAUACGGGCAAACUAGAGUGCGGUAGGGGAGACUGGAAUUCCUGGUGUAGCGGUGAAAUGCGCAGAUAUCAGGAGGAACACCGGUGGCGAAGGCGGGUCUCUGGGCCGUAACUGACGCUGAGGAGCGAAAGCAUGGGGAGCGAACAGG